CGCCGAAGAGGCCCCGCUCCCGGGUCGGACGCCUGGGUCUGCCGGGAAGAGCGAUGAGAGAGAUGCUGCCCCCACCCCCUUAGGCCCGAGGGAUCAGGAGCUAUGGGGCCAGAGGCCCUGUCAUCUUUACUGCUGCUGCUCUUGGUGGCAAGUGGAGAUGCUGACAUGAAGGGACAUUUUGAUCCUGCCAAAUGCCGCUAUGCCCUGGGCAUGCAGGACCGGACCAUCCCAGACAGUGACAUCUCUGCUUCCAGCUCCUGGUCAGAUUCCACUGCUGCCCGCCACAGCAGGUACUUGGCACACCUGGCACACUUGUAGCUGCCCCGAGAGGAGCUCCUGGGACCUCUACUUCCCCUCCAACCCCUCUGCCCAUGCCAGUGAAACCCCUGCAGGCUGAGGGGACAAAUGAAGUGGGGUUUAAAUACUGGAGAUGGAGGCAGACCUGGGGCCAGAUGUUCUCUGUGCCCCUCUUCACCCUCAGGUUGGAGAGCAGUGACGGGGAUGGGGCCUGGUGCCCCGCAGGGUCGGUGUUUCCCAAGGAGGAGGAGUACUUGCAGGUGGAUCUACAACGACUGCACCUGGUGGCUCUGGUGGGCACCCAGGGACGGCAUGCCGGGGGCCUGGGCAAGGAGUUCUCCCGGAGCUACCGGCUGCGUUACUCCCGGGAUGGUCGCCGCUGGAUGGGCUGGAAGGAC
rnacentral:sRNA from 1 species